rnacentral:rRNA from 1 species
GACGAACGCUGGCGGCGUGCUUAACACAUGCAAGUCGAACGGAAAGGCCCUGCUUUUGGGGGGUGCUCGAGUGGCGAACGGGUGAGUAACACGUGGGUAACCUGCCCUUGACUUUGGGAUAACUUCAGGAAACUGGGGCUAAUACCGGAUAGGAGCUCCUGCUGCAUGGUGGGGGUUGGAAAGUUUCGGCGGUUGGGGAUGGACUCGCGGCUUAUCAGCUUGUUGGUGGGGUAGUGGCUUACCAAGGCUUUGACGGGUAGCCGGCCUGAGAGGGUGACCGGCCACAUUGGGACUGAGAUACGGCCCAGACUCCUACGGGAGGCAGCAGUGGGGAAUAUUGCACAAUGGGCGGAAGCCUGAUGCAGCAACGCCGCGUGCGGGAUGACGGCCUUCGGGUUGUAAACCGCUUUCGCCUGUGACGAAGCGUGAGUGACGGUAAUGGGUAAAGAAGCACCGGCUAACUACGUG